GUUGAAGCACCAAGUCCCAUAGGAUUACCAAAGUUAAGCAAUGUCAAGCCUGGUCAGUACCUAGAUGGGUGACUGCUUGGGAAUAGCAUAUGCUGUAAG